GGGCCUGCAAUUAAGGCGAUUAACUCCGCAGUUAGUAUGGCGUUAAAUUUCAGUCAUGAAUGCGGCGAUUAUUACGACAAUAACUACGCACAAUGAUUAUGAUUAUAAGUGCGUAAUGAAUGACUAUCAUAAAUACGCAAUGAAUGACGGUAGUAAGUACGCAAUGAUUAACUGUUAUUAGUGCAGCAAUAAUUGUCAUUAUAAGUGUGUAAAUAAAUGCUGCCAUCAAAGAAGAAAUAAUGGCGGCUUGUUCCCGAAGUAAGUCAUCGCCUAUAUAAAGGAGGCUUGAUGUCCAGGUAAUCCAUCUCAUUCCGACUAUUUGUACUCCACUAUUAAGAAACAUACUGACUUAGGCAUCGGAGAGUUUUCUGCAGGUACCCCCCCUUCUCCUCGAGCUGACGGUCAAACUCCAGGUCAACGCUCGAGGGAAGCUUCUCGAUUGUUCCCGGUCAGCUCCCGCUCCAGUCCGCAUUAAUUGUUGGGUCAAACUCCUCUACGG
rnacentral:lncRNA from 1 species